AUUUUGGUGAACGGUUUUAAAGUAUACUAAGUUGAACGGUUGAGAAUUCGAUUAAUAUUAUGUGGAAAAUUAAUUUAUAGGCGGGCACUAUUAGUAACUUAAGUAGGAUAAUAAACAGCAUAUAUUUCAUAUUUAUAACCCUCGGGAAAGUCACAAACAUGUCCUUUUUGUGUUUUUCGCUCGACUUUUUUUAGUGGUUUUAGGUGUCUAGCGGCCCAAUCUGAUGUCGUAGGACAAUGUUUUUUUCACCAAAUUAUAGGUACUAAAAUUCUCUAUUAUUUUCGUAUAUAACUUGUGGGUUUAUCCCUUGAGAAACCUACGAAAAUGCCCUUUUUGUGUUUUUCGUUGUCUAAUUUUUGGUGUUUUAGGUGUCUAGCGGCCGAACCUGAUGUCGUAGGAUAACGUUUUUUUCACCAAAUUGUAGGUGUCUAGCGGCCGAACCUGAUGUCGUAGGAUAACGUUUUUUUUCACCAAAUUGUAGGUACUAAAAUUCUCUAUUAUUUUCGUAUAUAACUUGUGGGUUUAUCUCUUGAGAAACCUACGAAAAUGCCAUUUUUGUGCUCUCGUUGUCUAAUUUUUGGUGUUUUAGGUGUCUAGCGGCCGAACCUGAUGUCGUAGGAUAACGUUUUUUCAUCAAAUUGUAGGUACUAAAAUUCUCUAUUAUUUUCGUAUAUAACUUUUGGGUUUAUCCCUUGAGAAACCUACGAAAAUGCCCUUUUUGUGUUUUUGGUUGUCUAAUUUUUGGUGUUUUAGGUGUCUAGUAGCCGAAUCAGAUGUCGUAGGACAACGUUUUUUUCACCAAAUUGCAGGUACUAAAAUUCUCUAUUAUUUUCGGAUAUAACUUGUGGGCUUAUCCCUUGGGAAACCUAGAAAAUUAAAAUAAAAGUACGGUAAUUUAAUUGCUUCAAAUCACAUACUUUCUGUUAUUGCGUGCGUUGUUGUUUUCAACUUACGAACAUAGAUUGUCGUCCCUCCAACUCUGGGUCGGUUAUCAAUUCUCUUUCUUGUUUAGCCCGGUUUAGUCGUUCGUGCGCCGUGGUGUGGUGUGCACGUGUUUUGUUCUUAAUCAACUUUCGUGACAUUUGUUAGCGUUACUAAAGAUCUUAAUUCUGUCAUUAGUUCAGGUAUUAAGUUUAUGUGAUUGCACGCUGCUGUUUAUCAAUCGUGGAUUAAUUUUUGGUUCACCGGUGCGCUCGUGUUCAUUGACAAUCAGUUAUCGUUUCACACACAAGAAUAACUUGGAUUUAGAAUUAAUUCCUGCAAAUGUUUGUGAGUGCACGGAUUGAGUUUGCAAUAUCUUUAGCUCAAGUGUUGGAGAUGUGCGUAUUUUAAGGCAAGUUUUUACUACUCCCGAAUUUGCAAGCCGACGAUUUUUUUAUUUAACAAAAUGUGUCUAUUGUUAUUGUUCUCAAUAAAACACAUUGUAUAAUUACAA